AACGCACCUUGCGCCCGGUGGUAUUCCGCCGGGCAUGCCUGUUUGAGUGUCAUGAAAACAAUCAACCUUGCCUUUGGUUAACUCCUCGGGCACGGCUGGACUUGGGCGUUUGCCGGCCUCGCGGUCGGCUCGCCUCAAAUGCAUUAGCUGGACUAGCCCUUGGGAUGGUUUGACUUGGCGUAAUAAGUAUUUCGCUGAGGACACUUCGGUGGCCACCCCUGGACGUCGUCUGCUUUCCAACCCGUCUUCGGACAACUACUUUCAUUGAUCUGGCCUCAAAUCAGGUAGGACUACCCGCUGAACUUAA
rnacentral:misc_RNA from 1 species